rnacentral:rRNA from 1 species
GGGCGAGCGUUUUCCCGGAAUCUACUGGGGCGUAAAGGGUACGCAGGCGGAUAUAUAAGUCAAAUGUGAAAACCCCGGCUCAACCCGUGAGUUGCAUUUGAAACUGUAUAUCUUGAGUGUCACGAGAGGGGAGCGGAAUUCCUGGUGUAGCGGUGGAAUGCGUAGAUAUCAGGAAGAACACCAGUGGCGAAAGGCGGCUCUCUGGCCUGUAACUGACGCUGAGGUACGAAAAGCCUGGGGGAGCGAACGGGAUUAGAUACCCCGGUAGUCCCACGCCGUAAACGAUGGACACUAGGUGUUGGGGGUUCGAAUCCCUCAGUGCCGGAGUUAACGCGAUAAGUAUCCGCCUGGGGAGUACGGUCGC